GAGGGUGUAGCUCAGUGGUAGAGCACAUGCUUAGCAUGCCUGAGGUCCUAGCUUCAAUCCCCAGUACCUCCA
rnacentral:tRNA from 1 species